GUGAAAUUCCGUCGGAAUCUGGGAGGACCAUCUCCUAAGGCUAAAUACUCUCUAGUGACCGAUAGUGAACCAGUACCGUGAGGGAAAGGUGAAAAGCACCCCGGAAGGGGAGUGAAAUAGAACCUGAAACCGUGUGCUUACAAGUAGUCAGAGCCCGUUAAUGGGUGAUGGCGUGCCUUUUGUAGAAUGAACCGGCGAGUUACGAUUUGAUGCAAGGUUAAGCAGUAAAUGUGGAGCCGUAGCGAAAGCGAGUCUGAAUAGGGCGUUUAGUAUUUGGUCGUAGACCCGAAACCAGGUGAUCUACCCUUGGUCAGGUUGAAGUUCAGGUAACACUGAAUGGAGGACCGAACCGACUUACGUUGAAAAGUGAGCGGAUGAACUGAGGGUAGCGGAGAAAUUCCAAUCGAACCUGGAGAUAGCUGGUUCUCUCCGAAAUAGCUUUAGGGCUAGCCUCAAGUGAUGAUUAUUGGAGGUAGAGCACUGUUUGGACGAGGGGCCCCUCUCGGGUUACCGAAUUCAGACAAACUCCGAAUGCCAAUUAAUUUAACUUGGGAGUC
rnacentral:rRNA from 1 species